rnacentral:rRNA from 1 species
GGGGGCACCCUGAUCUCUCCAUGCCGCGUGUGUGAUGAAGGCCCUAUCCUCGUAAAGCACUUUCGCCAGAGAUGAUAAUGACAGUAUCUGGUAAAGAAACCCCGGCUAACUCCGUGCCAGCAGCCGCGGUAAUACGGAGGGGGUUAGCGUUGUUCGGAAUUACUGGGCGUAAAGCGCACGUAGGCGGAUUAGUAAGUUAGAGGUGAAAUCCCAGGGCUCAACCCUGGAACUGCCUUUAAUACUGCUAGUCUUGAGUUCGAGAGAGGUAAGUGGAAUUCCGAGUGUAGAGGUGAAAUUCGUAGAUAUUCGGAGGAACACCAGUGGCGAAGGCGGCUUACUGGCUCGAUACUGACGCUGAGGUGCGAAAGUGUGGGGAGCAAACAGGAUUAGAUACCCUGGUAGUCCACACCGUAAACGAUGAAUGCCAGACGUCAGCAAGUAUACUUGUUGGUGUC